rnacentral:rRNA from 1 species
GAGAGCUUGCUCUUUGGAUCAGUGGCGAACGGGUGAGUAACACGUGAGCAAUCUGCCCUUGACUCUGGGAUAAGCGUUGGAAACGACGUCUAAUACCGGAUACGAGCUGUGACCGCAUGGUCAACAGUUGGAAAGAACUUCGGUCAAGGAUGAGCUCGCGGCCUAUCAGCUUGUUGGUGAGGUAAUGGCUCACCAAGGCGUCGACGGGUAGCCGGCCUGAGAGGGUGACCGGCCACACUGGGACUGAGACACGGCCCAGACUCCUACGGGAGGCAGCAGUGGGGAAUAUUGCACAAUGGGCGCAAGCCUGAUGCAGCAACGCCGCGUGAGGGACGACGGCCUUCGGGUUGUAAACCUCUUUUAGCAAGGAAGAAGCGAAAGUGACGGUACUUGCAGAAAAAGCACCGGCUAACUACGUGCCAGCAGCCGCGGUAAUACGUAGGGUGCAAGCGUUAUCCGGAAUUAUUGGGCGUAAAGAGCUCGUAGGCGGUUUGUCGCGUCUGCUGUGAAAUCUGGGGGCUCAACCCCCAGCCUGCAGUGGGUACGGGCAGACUAGAGUGCGGUAGGGGAGAUUGGAAUUCCUGGUGUAGCGGUGGAAUGCGCAGAUAUCAGGAGGAACACCGAUGGCGAAGGCAGAUCUCUGGGCCGUAACUGACGCUGAGGAGCGAAAGGGUGGGGAGCAAACAGGCUUAGAUACCCUGGUAGUCCACCCCGUAAACGUUGGGAACUAGUUGUGGGGUCCAUUCCACG